rnacentral:rRNA from 1 species
GAUGAACGCUGGCGGCGUGCCUAAUACAUGCAAGUCGAGCGAACAGACGAGGAGCUUGCUCCUCUGACGUUAGCGGCGGACGGGUGAGUAACACGUGGAUAACCUACCUAUAAGACUGGGAUAACUUCGGGAAACCGGAGCUAAUACCGGAUAAUAUAUUGAGCCGCAUGGUUCAAUAGUGAAAGACGGUUUUGCUGUCACUUAUAGAUGGAUCCGCGCCGCAUUAGCUAGUUGGUAAGGUAACGGCUUACCAAGGCAACGAUGCGUAGCCGACCUGAGAGGGUGAUCGGCCACACUGGAACUGAGACACGGUCCAGACUCCUACGGGAGGCAGCAGUAGGGAAUCUUCCGCAAUGGGCGAAAGCCUGACGGAGCAACGCCGCGUGAGUGAUGAAGGUCUUCGGAUCGUAAAACUCUGUUAUUAGGGAAGAACAAAUGUGUAAGUAACUAUGCACGUCUUGACGGUACCUAAUCAGAAAGCCACGGCUAACUACGUG